rnacentral:rRNA from 1 species
AAGAAUUAAUGGUCGAACAGACCAAAUUUUAAAACUUCUGCAUUUUAAAAUUAUCUUAAUCCAACAUCGAGGUCGCAAUCUAUUUUGUCGAUAUGUUCUCUUAAAAAUAAUUACG